rnacentral:rRNA from 1 species
GAAUAUUGGACAAUGGGGGAAACCCUGAUCCAGCAAUGCCGCGUGUGUGAAGAAGGCCUGCGGGUUGUAAAGCACUUUCAGUGGGAAAGAUUGGUUGUCCGGUUAAUACCCGGAUAAUUUGACGUUACCCAAAGAAGAAGCACCGGCUAACUCCGUGCCAGCAGCCGCGGUAAUACGGAGGGUGCAAGCGUUAAUCGGAAUUACUGGGCGUAAAGCGCACGUAGGCGGUUUUGUAAGUCAGAUGUGAAAGCCCCGGGCUCAACCUGGGAAUUGCAUCGGAUACUGUAUGACUAGAGUGUGCUAGAGGAAAGUGGAAUUCCGGGUGUAGCGGUGAAAUGCGUAGAUAUCCGGAGGAACAUCAAUGGCGAAGGCAACUUUCUGGGGCAAUACUGACGCUGAGGUGCGAAAGCGUGGGGAGCAAACAGG